ensembl:lncRNA
GCUCUGUCCCUUGUCUUGGUUCAUUCUGACCUCACCAGGGUGAUGGCAUUGGAGUGGGGCCUGCGGGCUAAGGAUUUGGACUGAAAUGGAGGGUUGAUUUCUUCUAAAUGGAAGAUCCUAUAGGUACCCUCCUCUCUCCUGGCUCCCUACCUCCUAGACGAGGAUGCCACGGUUUAUCCAACCUCUUGGUGUCUGUUCAGUUCUUCUCAACUUGGUCAUGAAGUAAUAAUUCACUCUUGAGCAGCUGGAAAAUGCAUUCCUUGGUCAGUAAUGUAAGGCACAGAAAUUAUGCCUUUGUGGUCAAUAGCAGGUGAGCAACUCUGGCCCCUUGUGGAGUCAGAUGGACAAGAAUGCAAACAGCCAAACAGAUGGAUAAUUUCAGCACCUUGUGGUCCCUUGGGGUUGUACGGCUGGAAGACAUUUUCAGCCUCACGUAAUAAAAAUGAUGGACAGUCACUCAGCCUGCAUGGAAUUGUAUCCUGUCAUCUUUACUCAGAAAAAUCUCCCUCUGAAGUCAGUGGGGUUUUUAGGCUGAGGAUUGGCCAUAGAAUAUGCCCCUUUUAGUAAAGGCAAUGGAAUUAAGGUUUAGCUGAG